UUGAGUUAUGAGUCAAUUCCCGAUAGGAUUCACGAACCCAGUGAAGCUGCCUUGUAACCGAAUGACUGCGAGAUUAUCGGUCAACUCGCGUCAACUCAAUCUAGGGGGAAUAUCCAUUG
rnacentral:sRNA from 2 species